rnacentral:pre_miRNA from 1 species
CGGGGGAGGGGGGAUCCUGGGCUGUGUCCCGGCGCCCUGUGCUCCGGAGCCUGCGCUGGUGGAUUCGCGCUCCCGCCCCACAGCCCCCU